GUUUUAGUCUAAAUAUACCACUCUGAAUGCGCCCCAUCUUGCCUGAUCUCGGAAGCUAAGCAGGGUCGGGCCUGGUUAGAACUUGGAUGGGAGUUUACCGAACAAUGAAAUAUAUGUCAAGUGAAAAUCGAGUGAUUAAAAUC
rnacentral:rRNA from 1 species